AAAAUGUUAAAAUGAAGCAAUCAGAGAACAUUGAAGACCAUUAAAUGAUAAAGGAAUUCCACAUCAAAUUCAGCCAUUAAAAAAAUCUUCUCAUUUUGCCUUUCAUACCCCAAAAAACAUGGAACAAAUACCAACCCACCUUUGUAAAC